UCCUUCAUUUAUAUGUUCAAUGCCAUUCCGUCUUUUAAAGUGAAUUUUUUUUGCCUUCUUCUCCUUUGUUAGUUCUUGCCCAUAGGGACUAUAGGGGAGGCCUCUUUCAUUAACUAGUGAUUAAUGCGGUGGCAACAGACCAAUUAGAAAUUAUUGUUUCCAAAUAUUGUUGCAUUUGCUAAUGUUCACACCCGUGAACUUGCACAUUAUUUAAACAAAAUGUUUUAAGAAAAUUGUGUGGCAUUUAAUGGUUGGCUUUGUUCACGGUGUGUAGAGGCUUGCAUGCUUCUCAAUGGGAGAGAACGCACACAUCCAGAGGAAGUUGCAGGGGUCGCCAAAACAAAUGUUUUCAAAGCGCAGUUGGUAAAAACAUGGCCGGCAAAAAAAACCCAAGGAUUGAAAGCAACAAUUGGUGAGAUCGCAUGUAGUAUGGAUUCAAGCUACACAGUCAUUGAUUAGGGUUUUCAUUUGCAAAUGACAGGCUGCUAUGGGAGAAUGGACGGGUGGCGGUUAGGGUUCUCGUUGUGCCAUUAUUAAAUUUCAAAGGUUGUGUUUUCUCAGUCAUUUCUCGUUGCCGCAUCAUCUCGGGUCUGCUUCUCCCUCCCCCAUACCCAUCUUUCCACAUACUUUGGUAAUCCUAGGCUUUCUCUAUGCAUCUAUCUCUCAUGCAAGUCCCUUAGUCCGAGUUUGAUACUUUGCCAAAAACCUUGAGAUAACAUAGAGGUCUUUGAAUGCAGAAGCUGAAAAACAAUCACAAAGCCUAGAAAAAAGAUCAGGACAGCCAGAAAAGUCUACAAAGAAAUUGAGUCAGAAAAUGCAAAUGAAAUUAAACAGUUCAUUACCACUGUACUAGUUUUUUACACAGUCAAUUGACAAACAAUGUUCAGGACAAAAACUUUCAAUUUAAAUACCAUGUAAUCAAUUAACAAUG